ensembl:lncRNA
GUGACAGAAGGACUCCGUCAUGCUCAGAUCCAGCGGUGUGGGAUUUCGUAUCCGUUCCCCAGUCACCAUGGAGGAGCGGAGGGGUAGACUCCGGAACUUAACCACCCUUCGUCAAAGUGGGCGUGAGGUGGGUGAUCUGGCUCAAGCGUUUUGGACUAUGGCGGUAGGGCUGGGGUAUAACGAUGAGGCACUAAAGGAUUUUUUUAAUGACUGCCUGGAUGACCCUUUGCCUCGGUGGGAGAUGAAGGGGCUGGAGAUCCUAAACUUUUGGGGGUUCACCAAUUACCUGCGCCAUCGUGCUCAGUGGGAUGCAGUAACCACACCUGAGUCUCCAGACAAGACUGCCGCCAGCCCAGCGCCACAGCACAAGAGGGCCGCCAGUCCAGCGCCACAGCACAAGAUGGCCGCCAGCCCAACACCACAGCACAAGAUGGCCGCCAGCCCAGAACCAUUGCACAAGAUGGCCGAAUCUACACCUGUGUUGCCAGACAAGAUGGCUGACUCAACGCCUGAGUCUCCCGUCAAGGUGCCACCGACUCGCCAUCAUAGAGGGCGGAGGAGGAGGAGACAGGCGUCUACCGUUCCUCAAAGCAUGGAGGACGUUCCCGAGCAGGCCGCUGCCAUCCAGGAGGACGUUCCCGAGCAGGCCGCUGCCGUCCAGGAGGACGUUCCUGAGCAGUCUGCUGCCGUCCCUGAGGCGGUGCCCGAGGCGGUGCCCGAUACUGUUCCCGAUGCCGAGGCGGUGCCCGAUGUUGUUCCCGAUGCCGAGGCGGUGCCCGAUGCUGUGCCCGAUGCCGAGGCGGUGCCCGAGGCCGUUCCAGAGGUCGAGGCGGUGCCCGAUGCCGUUCCGGAGGUCGAGGCGGUGCCCGAUGCCGAGGCGGUGCCCGAGGCUGUUCCGGAGGUCGAGGCGGUGCCCGAGAUGGUUCCGGAGGCCGAGGCGGUUCCGGAGGCCGUGCCGGAGAUGGUUCCGGAGGCCGAGGCGGUUCCGGAGGCCGAGGCGGUGCCCGAUGCUGUUCCGGAGGCCGAGGCAGUGCCCGAUGCGCAGGCCGAGGCGAUGCCCAUGUCCAGGGCCGUUCCCGAGGCGAUGUCCUUGUCCCAUGCCGUUCCUGAGGCCGCUCCCAAGGCGGUGCCCGAGCCCGAGGUCGUGCCCGAGGUCGUUCCCGAGGCGGUGCCCGAACCCGAGGUCGUUCCCGAGGCGAUACCCGUGUCCAAUGCCGUGACCUGGCCAUCACCACAGUCUGCUCCUCACUGGCUCCCCGAAUGGCAGGUUCCGUUCUGGCCACUCAAAUGGCGAGUUCCUCCCUGGCCGUCUGCACAACUAGAAUGGACUGAUCCUCCGUGGCCACCUGAACUGCCUGGUCCCUCGUGGUUCCCUGAACUUUCGGGUCCACCCUGGC